ACCAGAAACCAGACUGAGCAGCCUUAGUCAUUUUCUGCAGUGGCAAAACCAAUUGCCAGGUGAUUUGUGGGGUUUUGUUUGUUUUUGUUUUUUUUGUGUUUUUUUUUUUUUUUUUGGCUGAUUUGAAAUGCUAGGGAUUUGUGUGUCCUGGACACAUGUUCUGUCAUCAGACAUUCUUCCACUUGAAUUGUUGGGUUUUCUUGGGAUAAGUAGCUGCUGAAGUGUAAGUAGGUUUUGCUAGCUAUGUCCUGAUUUAAGAGCUCCUUUAAAAUAAAGAUUUAUUUACCUCUAUAUGCAUUAAAUCCUGCUACUCUUAAAGCAGUCCUGUCACUUUAAAGUGAGAUGUCUUUCAGGUAGCCAUUUAUCCAUAGUCAAAAAAGUAAGAGACAGUAUCUAGUAGUUUUAUUUUUUAAAAUUUUAGUGUGUGUUACUGUCUUUCUUUGUCUUUGAUCAUGUUACAAUACAGAUUAUCCCAUUAAGUUAGGAAGAGGACAAUGAUUACUUAGAACUGGGAUUAUAAUUCCAGCCCCUGAAUUUGCUAAUAUUAAACAAGAUAUUUUAGCUUAAAUUAUUUUGCACUGCAUUACUUGGCUUGUGUUUGCAGUUGUCAUUUCUAAAACUUAGUGCUAAUGUUGAGUAUUAAUUUUAUUUUCAUACACGGAAAUUAAAGUGGUCCAGGUUAAUUUGACUAGAGUAGUGUUAGGGAUUAAGUGUGCGUCUAGCCAGUGAGUACUAAAGGAGUGAGUACUAAAGGAGUGAGUACUAAGGGAGGUAGUUUUGUUGUUUUGUGUUGAAGAGAUGGAGCUCUUAGUAAUUCAGUAAUUUAGUAAUGAGUUCCAUAAAUAUGUUCAAGAUGAUGUAUGGUCUCUCCUGUUGCUACAUAAACAAGUAUAUGUCUCCAUGGUCAGUAUUGCAAGCUGGUUUCAAACUGGAUGUCUACAGCUUUGGUUUUCCGAGAGGGUUAUAGAUGGGGCAUUACCAUGUCUGGCAGCUUUUUUCCCAUAUUUUUCCUGAAUUCCAGAAUUUCUGGUAGUUUCAACUUGAUUUUAUAUACCUUUUAAGUAUAUUCCUUAUGUAUUCAUGGUUUACUUGGGUGCUAACAUCUAACAUAAAGUUAGAAAACUUUUGUUGUGUGGGAGACCUGUGUGUCCGCAUGGGGGAUGGAAUGGUGAAUCCAUAUUCUUAGCAGCUAGGUAAGAAUGUAUGUGCCUCACACUUUCAAAAGAAAGUGAGACUUGGUCACUAUAUUUUAAAAAAAAUCUAGAUUAAAUUUUUUAUUAGUAGUGAUAAGCCUAGCCUCCAUGUAUCUCAUAAAGAAUCUAGAUUAACUUUCUAUUAAUAGUGAUAGGCCUUAGUGAAAGGGUUGAUUAAGUCUGGUAUUUAAGUAAAUAAUGACCAGGGGUUUUGUUCCUUAUAUUUAGUUUUGGAGAUAGUUAUUAAAAAUAGAGUUCCAGUAUGUUUCUUACUGGCUGAGAACUUUUGUUAUAUAGACCACAACUAGGCUAGCCUCUAGCUCAUGAGUGCUGGGAUUAAAAGUAGGAGCCACUGCACUAGACUUUUUAUAGUGUUUUUAAACUAGUGAAAAUAUUCUUGAGUUUCAAGGUUUUUGAGAAGUUAAUGAGAAUCACUCUACCCUUUUUCUGAAAACAUACCCACUAAGUAUACUGUAUAAUGAAGAUAGAACUUUCAAUUACUUAUUCAUGGCACAAAAUUAAGACAUUAAUUUGGGUAGAAUUACGAGGUGAAAGUUUAUUCUCACAUAGUGUUUAACAGGCACUGCUAGGCUUGGUGGUACUUGAGGUUGAAUUUAAGGGUUAUAAUCUGAAGUCUUGUUAAAUAGCAUCAUCCUAUCUUAAAACCAGAUCUCUGCACAUUGAAAGAUAUAUCAGUGAAAUGUAGGUCUUUCGUGAAUUUAGCACACUUGUCUGGGAAGGGAGCAUAAUUGGGGAAUUGCUUAUAUUAGAUUGGCCUGUACCCAUUUCUGUUGUGAUAAUUUCUUGGUUUAUGAUUGAUGUGAGAAGGCCCAACUUGCAGAGGUGCCACUCCCAGGGGUUUGAAUUUAUUUCUUCUAAAAAGCAAGGUAAACAAACCACAGAACAGCAUGGUCUUUUGCUUCAGUUCCUGCUUUCAAGUUCUUUUUUCUGAUUUCUUUCAGUGAUUAGAAUGUAUAAAUAACUGUGCUGUCAGGGCUGCAUUUGGUCAAAGUCUUAUCACAGCCAGAGAAAGCAAACUAGGACACAACUUGGUUCCAGAUGGGGAAUAUUUCCUGUUGCUUCAAAGCCCAAUGGGUUGGCUGUUUGUGGAAGAUGAGAGAGCAGGCCAGUUAACUGUUCCUCUGUGGUCUCUGAUUCUUUGCCCUGGCUUCUUUUGAUGAUGGUCUGUGAUUGGAGUAUGUAAAUGAAAUAAAUCCUUUGUGCUCCAUCUUGCUUUUGGUCAUGAUGUUUUAUCAUACCAAUAAAAAGCAAACAUGCAGAAGUUGGUACCAUUAAUCUUUUCACCAGCUCAUACAGGUCCAAUGGACUUGUAUGGUCCUCUCACUUAAAUGUAGAAGGCAGAGGCAUUGGAUUGCAUAGCCUGGCCCCUAGAUUUAACAGUAAGUUUUGAGCCAGUGUAAAACUUGUUUAAGUAUGUGCACUGCUUGCAUGCCAUGACCAUGGAGGCCAGAAUUGGGUACCAGAUGUGGAACUGGAGUUAAACAGCAUGUUGGGAGUAGAAACUAUAUGUUGCAAGAGCAAUUGCUCUAAACCACUCAGCUAUUUAUUAAGUUAGGUAUCAAAAUGUGAAAGGCUAAGUCUAGCUCUAGCAUGGGUUUUAUCCUUACCAUCACUAAAGAAUAUUACAGAAACGUGGCACAGUACAGUUUAGUUUUUUUGCUUUAGAAGUCAAGAUAAUGCAGUCCAGUUCCUUGAACUCUAGUUAGGAUUUUCAUUGUACAGAUAGUAUUUGUCUUCAGAGGGCCACCAUUCUGACUUACUGCUGGGAAAUCACAUGUUCUUAGGAUAUUAAGCUGUUAUCUGUUGAGAAUUGAAUUGGUGGUUAUAAUUUUAUUGAAUAUUUGUCUAGCUGCCCUUCAGAAUCCAUCUACUAAUUAAUUUUAGUUUCUCUAAUUAAUACUGGCUACCAUGCUUUGUAAUCUUUGCUAGCUGAUAAAAAUAUUUAAAUAG
rnacentral:lncRNA from 1 species